rnacentral:lncRNA from 1 species
GGUGCGCAAUUGGCUGGAGCGUCUCAUGGACGUCGCGUACGACGCCGACGACGUGCUGGACGAGUUCGCGGUGGAGCUGGCGGUGUCGCCGGCGGUGGCUGCGGCGGCGGCGGCGCGGCGGGGAAGGGAGCGGGGGCUCUGCCGCUUGUUCGCCUUCUGCUUCGCCUGCAUGCGGUCGGCGCGCUUCCGUCACGAGAUCGGCUGCAGAAUAGCGGACGCGAGGGGGAGGCUGGAGAGGAUUCACAAAGACUGGAAUAGCCUCGGCCUCAGCGCCAUCAGCGGCGGCGCCGCCCCCGCGGCGGAGACCGGAAUUUCCGGCGGCAGGGAGACCACCUCCCAGAGCGGGGAUAGGGGCAGGUUCUUCGUCGGCAGAAAGGCGGAGAAGAGGAGGAUCAUAGAGAAGCUUCUGUCGGUGUCCUCCGACGUGCUCCUGGUGCCCAUAGUGGGAAUGGGAGGGAUGGGGAAGACGGCUCUAGCGCAGGAGAUCAUAGACGAUGGGAGGAUGAAGGAGCACUUCAAGGAGAAAAUUAUAUGGGUGUACCUGGGGUUGAAGUUCGACGCCGCGAAGAUCAUCAGGGCAGUCACAGGGGAGGAGCCUUCUCCCUCGACGACCUUGGAAGACCUCCAUGGCCGCCUGAGGAGCAAGCUCGACGAAGGGAGGUUUCUGCUUGUUCUGGACGACGUCUGGAGCGAUAAGCACGAAGAGUGGGAACAGAUUCUGCCCCCAAUCCGUGCAGCCAAAAGAGGCGGAGCAGUCAUCUUCACC